CCCGCCGCUACGUGAGUGCCACCGGCGGAGCUGGCCGGGACGCUGUGCCCUCGCUCGGCUCUCUCCGCCCCCCGCGCGGGCCGCGGGCUGCGCUGGGUCGCGGCGGGCCCCGCAGGCGGCCAUGGCGGCGGGCGCCGGGGCCAGGCCGGCGCCGCGCUGGGUGAAGGCGCUGGGUGAGCCGCUCAGCGCGGCGCAGCUGCGGCGGCUGGAGGAGCACCGCUACACCGCGGUCGGGGAGUCGCUGUUCGAGCCGCCGCUGCAGCUUUACUGGACCUGGCUGCUCCAAUGGAUCCCGCUCUGGAUGGCCCCCAACACCAUCACCCUCAUCGGCCUCGCCAUCAACCUGCUCACCACUCUAGUGCUCAUCUUCUACUGCCCUACGGUCACGGAGGAGGCACCAUACUGGACGUACUUUUUAUGCGCCCUGGGACUCUUCAUCUACCAGUCACUGGAUGCCAUUGAUGGGAAGCAAGCCAGAAGGACAAACUCUUGUUCUCCUCUAGGGGAACUGUUUGAUCAUGGCUGUGACUCUCUCUCCACGGUAUUUAUGGCCAUCGGCGCUGCGGUUGCUGUUCGCCUGGGGACGCACCCUGACUUGUUGUUCUUCUGCUCCUUUAUCGGGAUGUUUCUGUUUUACUGCGCUCACUGGCAAACCUACGUCUCAGGAGUCUUGAGAUUUGGAAGAGUGGAUGUAACUGAGAUUCAGGUAGCUUUAGUGGUCAUCUUUAUAUUGUCUACAUUUGGAGGAGCAACAAUGUGGGACUAUACGAUACCUAUUCUAGAAAUAAAACUGAAGAUCUUUCCAGUUCUUGGAGUAGUGGGUGGAGCAAUCUUUUCCUGUUCAAAUUAUUUCCAUGUGAUCCUCCAUGGUGGUGUUGGCAAGAAUGGAUCUACUAUCGCAGGUACCAGUGUCUUGUCACCUGGACUCCACAUAGGAUUAAUUAUUAUAUUGGCAAUAAUGAUCUAUAAAAAGUCUGCAACAAAUGUGUUUGAAAAACACCCUUGCCUUUAUACCUUAAUGUUCGGAUGUGUCUUUGCUAAAGUUGCACAAAAAUUGGUGAUAGCCCACAUGACGAAAAGUGAACUGUAUCUUCAAGACACUGUCUUUGCUGGUCCAGGUCUUUUGUUUUUAGACCAAUACUUUAAUAAUUUUAUAGAUGAAUAUAUUGUUCUAUGGAUAGCAAUGGUCAUUUCUUCAUUUGAUAUGAUGAUAUACUUUUGUUCUUUGUGCCUGCAAAUUUCAAGACACCUUCAUCUAAGUAUCUUCAAGACUUCAUGUCAACAAGCACCUGAACAGGUUCACAAGCAUAUUGACUGACUAGUAGCCCAAGGAAAAGAGGAGAAGCAGUUAGGGGAACCUAUGUGUGAAGGAAACCCCCCUAUGCAGGAGGUUCAAGUUCUUUCUUCAAAGACUCAUCAGAAUAACAUGGAUUGAAGAGACUUUCGAACAUUUGCCAUCUCUUGUUGCUGCUGUUUCAUGAAAGGAGAUAUGAAAAAUGUUUAAUUUUUAGUUAAAUGUUAUAAAAGUUUCAGCAAAUAAAACAUUUCAGUGCCUCCAUUAAUCCCUAUCUUUACAAUUUAAAAUAGAACUUACAGUUUCCAUCAUAACUUUUUUUUGCAACAUAGCCAUUUCUUUUUUAAGUUCACUUUGUGUGCCAGUAAACAGGUUAUCAUUAUUUUUCUCCACUUCCUCCAAACUCUAAAACACAAAAAAGCCACUUUGGUUAAUAAACUGUAACUUUUAAUCGUAGGUUCUCCAAACUGUAAUUUCAAAAGUAAAAAUCUUACUUAGAAUGUUGGGGUAAAUAAUGAGCAUUAUUUGAGUAAUUCAUAUAUACCAAAUUUCUACCAUAAACAAGUAAAAUAUAUCACGCAUUAAUCAAUGCAAUUACUACAUGAAGUACAAUAGUACCAUCUACCUUUGGCCAAAACAAUAGUUUAAUGAAAUAUUAAGGUCAAGAUGAUGAAAAGAAAAAAUGGGGGCAGGAACUAGCCAAGAUGGGAGAAUUUCAGGCUAGUUCUGGGCAACAUUAAGAUCCUAUCUCAAAAGAAGAAAAAAAAAAUCCAGAAGUAGAAAACAGUAGAAAUUUUCAAAAUGGUCUAUCACUGUUUCUACUAAGUUUCUUAAAACAGCUGUGUAUAAUCUACAGACUUCUACAAAAGAGAAAGAAAUAUCUGUAGCAUGAAGUCAUUUCUCAAGUUGUAAAAAUUAUAUAUUUUUAAAAUUGUUUAUUACAUUCCAUUCACUCAAUGUGUAUGUUGUGCAUGUCUCACACAUACAUGAGCCACUAUAUGUAGAGGACAAUGUGUGGGUGUUGGGUUUUCUUCUGUCAUAUGGGUCCUAGAGAUUGAACUCUGCCCUAGUAUUUUGUUUUUUUCUGGACAGGAUCUCAAUAUAUAGGCACAGCUCACCUCAAACUCCCUAAUCCUGCCUCAGGCUCCCCCCUCUACUGGAAUUAGAGGGAUGUGCUAUAACAGCUAAUGAAAAAGGUUAAAAUUCUGAAAUAGUCAUUUAACAAAUAGUUAUUCUAUUGCCUACUAUGUAAAAAGUACUACGUUCUGUGGAGAAACUAAAAGUAACAUGUUUGUUUCAAGUAGAAAAAUUAUGGAAAUGCAACUUCUGUAGCUAUAUAGUGGAACGCAUGAAUAUUCCUGCUUAGCUGACAAAAAGUACACUAUUUCAUUAACUAAAAGGGAACUUAAAAUAUUCUAGAGGAAUAGUAUAACUGAAGCAGGGAAAAAGUCUGUGGAUUCAGAGAGCAAUUAUGUAGAGUUUGGAGUAAUGGACAUAUAGUCUGUGAAGCUUAAAAAGAAUCAUGCCAGGCAAUGAUGGCACACGCCUUUAAUCCCAGGACAUAAGGAUCCCCCUGUGAGUUUGAGGCCAGGCUGGUCUACAGAUCAGGUUCCAGGACAACCAGGGCUGUUGUUACACAGAGAAACCCUGUCCUGAAAAACCCAAAAUAAAAAAUUAUGUCAAGGGGAAUUCUAAAUACCUAAAACUUUAGAACAGGAGACUGCAGGCACAUUUUCAGGAAGGAGGUUUUAGAAAGAUAAUAUGGCAGAUUCGAAGAAUGAUAUGAAGAGAAUCAGUUAAAAGUUUUAAUAGGACAGAGGGUGAUAAGAGAAACAGUACAAGCAGAGAAUGAACAAAUGUAAUAGAAAUUAAAGAUAUCACUUGCAAGAGUAAGAAUUCUAGAACAAUAUAACUGUAACAAUAUAAAAUAUAAAAAAAUAUGGAGAACAUGGCUUGGUGAUGCACACCUUUAAUCCCAGAAUUUGGAAGUAAGGCAAGAGGAUAUGAGUUUGAAGCCAGCCUAGUCUACAUGGCAAGUUCCAGGCUAGCCAGACUAUACAGUGAGCCCUGUUCUCAAACACAAAAACAAAAUACAGCAAAACAAAAGCAUGUUACCAUGUAUAACUCACCUUUACAAACUGCUCAUGUAGCUGUUUGAUCGCUUUCAGUCUCUGGUUCUGAACAAUUCUAGACUGCUGAAAAAUCUUCUGUUGUUGUCGAAAAAGGUUCUAUAAACAUUAAAAUAAAAUGCCUGUAAUAAUGAUUUGGUAAAAGUGUUUUUGCUAUUAUGAGCUUCAUG